GCGACGAAGAAGCCGGUGACGAGCGUGACCAGCCAGACCGCGAGGCAGAACUUCAACGUCGACAGGUAGGUCUUCAGCGUCACGCACAGCUCGGGGAGCUUGUCGUAGCAGCCCUCGAACAUUUCCGUGUAGCUGCGCAGCGUGAACGUCGGCACCAGCGAAUACUCGGUGUAGUCCCAGAAGCUCACCAUCACGGUGAGUGCGAGCG
rnacentral:misc_RNA from 1 species